UACGUAGGGUGCAAGCGUUAAUCGGAAUUACUGGGCGUAAGGCGUGCGCAGGCGGUUAUGUAAGACAGGUGUGAAAUCCCCGGGCUUAACCUGGGAACUGCAUUUGUGACUGCAUAGCUAGAGUACGGUAGAGGGGGAUGGAAUUCCGCGUGUAGCAGUGAAAUGCGUAGAUAUGCGGAGGAACACCGAUGGCGAAGGCAAUCCCCUGGACCUGUACUGACGCUCAUGCACGAAAGCGUGGGGAGCAAACAGG
rnacentral:rRNA from 1 species